rnacentral:rRNA from 1 species
CCUACGGGUGGCAGCAGUGAGGAAUAUUGGUCAAUGGCCGGAAGGCUGAACCAGCCAAGCCGCGUGAGGGAGGAAGGGGCAGAGCGUCGCAGACCUCUUUUGCCGGGGGACAAAAGGCCGGUCUCGUCCGGUCCUGAGGGUACCCGGAGAAAAAGCCUCGGCAAACUCCGUGCCAGCAGCCCCGGUAAUACGGGGGAUGCGAGGGUUAUCCGGGUUCAUUGGGUUUAAAGGGGUCGCAGGCGGGCCUUUAAGCCGGCGGUAAAAUUGCGGGGCUCAACCCCGCCGAGCCGUCGGAACUGGGUGCCUAGAGUGCGGCGGAGGCAUGCGGAAUGCGCGGUGUAGCGGUGAAAUGCAUAGAUAUCGCGCAGAACCCCGAUUGCGAAGGCAGCGUGCCGGGCCGCCACUGACGCUGAGGCACGAAAGCGCGGGGAUCGAACAGGAUUAGAUACCCGAGUAGUC